rnacentral:rRNA from 1 species
CCUACGGGAGGCAGCAGUGAGGAAUAUUGGUCAAUGGGCGGAAGCCUGAACCAGCCAAGUAGCGUGCAGGAUGACGGCCCUACGGGUUGUAAACUGCUUUAUACGGGAAUAACGCGCCUUACGUGUAGGGCUUUGCAUGUACCGUAUGAAUAGGGACCGGCUAAUUUCGUGCCAGCAGCCGCGGUAAUACGGAAGGUCCGUGCGUUAUCCGGAUUUAUUGGGGUUAAAGGGAGCGUAGGCCGCAUGUCAAGCGUGCUGUGAAAUGUCCGGGCUCAACCCGGGCCUUGCAGCGCGAACUGGCGUGCUUGAGUCCGCGGAAAGCAGGCGGAAUUCGUCGUGUAGCGGUGAAAUGCUUAGAUAUGACGAAGAACCCCGAUUGCGAAGGCAGCUUGCUGCAGCGGAACUGACGCUGAUGCUCGAAAGCGCGGGUAUCGAACAGGAUUAGAUACCCGGGUAGUC